UACGGAGGGCGCAAGCGUUGUUCGGAAUCACUGGGCGUAAAGCGCGUGCAGGCGGCUUGGCAAGUCGGGUGUGAAAGCCCGGGGCCCAACCCCGGAACGGCAUCCGAAACUGCCUAGCUCGAGUCCCGGAGAGGGUGGCGGAAUUUCCGGUGUAGAGGUGGAAUUCGUAGAUAUCGGAAGGAACACCAGUGGCGAAGGCGGCCACCUGGACGGUGACUGACGCUGAGACGCGAAAGCGUGGGGAGCAAACAGG
rnacentral:rRNA from 1 species